GAUGAAGAACGAAGCGAAAUGCGAUACUUGGUGUGAAUUGCAGAAUCCCGUGAACCAUCGAGUCUUUGAACGCAAGUUGCGCCCGAAGCCAUUAGGCCGAGGGCACGCCUGCCUGGGCGUCACACGUCGUUGCCCCCCCAUCUACUCCUUCGGGAUUGCGGGGGGCGGAUGAUGGCCUCCCGUGCGCCUCGUCGCGCGGUUGGCAUAAAUGCCAAGUCCUCGGCGACACACGCCACGACAAUCGGUGGUUGCGAAACCUCGGUUGCCCGUCGUGUGCGGUCGUCGCGCAUCGAGGGCUCGAAAAAAUUGCCGGGCUCCGGCUCGGCUUUCAACGCGACCCCAGGUCAGGCGGGGUUACCCGCUGAAUUUAAGCAUAUCAAUAAGCGGAGGA
rnacentral:misc_RNA from 1 species